rnacentral:rRNA from 1 species
UUUAAUUAUGUUAUUUUUUAGUUAUUUUUGCAUAAUAUUCUAGGAACAAAAAAUUAUUAUUUUUAAUAGAUCUAAUUUAAGUUCAGGUGUUUAGUUAGUUACAAUAAAAAAAGUAAUUUGAUCUAAAAGUAGAAAUUGUGAUGGAUCUGAUAACAGUUUUUUAUAUAUAAGGGUGUAUCUUAUUGGUUUUUUUAAUUUUAUUAAAUCUUUUUUUAGGUUAACAAAGAGUCUUGAAAUUAGUAACUUUAAAUUAAAUAAGUGUUUUUAUCAAAUAAUUUUUUUUAAUUAGAAGUCUAGCUAAAUGUUUCUUUAAAUCUGUGGUGAUUUGAUUUAAUGAUCUGCUUCUGCCCGGUGGCUUUCGUUAAACGGCGUCUCAAACCUACGGGAUCUAAGGUAGCGCUAUAGGUCGUUCUUUUAUUGGGUUCUUUGUAUGAAUGUGGAAUCUGGUUGGUAUUCUGAUUUUAUUAAGGUGAAUUUUCAAAAGGGUUAAUAAGAUACUCUUUUUUUUAAAACCAAGAUAAGUCUUCGGAAACUUAAUUCCUUCCUCUCAGUAUUUGAAAAUUAUGGAGAGGUAUUUUCUUGGGGUAAGAAUAUGAGAAAAUAAAGUUUUUAUCUUUACUUAUAGAAGUUUCUUCGGAGUUAGCAGUGAAGUAACUAUAUUGGAUUAGUUCUCUUUUUAACCUUCAACAUCGAUGUUGUCUUAGUUACAGAAAAAAAUAGAAGCUUUUUUUACAAAGACUGUUCUUCUUUAGCUGUAUUACGUGAGAUUAGUUUAACUCGCCUAGAGGUAGGGUGGUUUAUCUGGUUUAAAUUUUUUUUGGUGCCCCUGUACGAAAGGAGAGGGAACUUGGCUUUGCUUAUGUAAUAGAUUGCUAUAAAGUAUUAAUUUUGUUUU